UAGUUGAGAGCAAAGAAAUUUCAAGGGUUCCACAAGUCAGCCACGUUGUACCUAGGAGUGUGGUUGCCUCUCUGCAUUUGGACAGAUUCUUCGAACGCCAGCUCAGAAGCCGGGCCGGAGGACAACGCGGCUUCAAGGAGCAGGGGUCUGCGAGUAAGUCCAGGUGAGUAGGAACCGCGGCCAGGAGGACCGGCCCGCGCCGCAGCGCGCACGCGCGGCGCCCGGAACCCACGCUCGUCCCCGCUGCGGGCCCGCGCUCGGAAGAGGGCGGCAGCGCGCAGGGAGCGGGAGGCGCGCGAGGCCGGCAGGCAGAAGCCGUGAGCCUCGCAGCAGCACGGACCCGAGAGUCGCCGCUGCCGCCACCGGCACACUCGAUCUGAUUUGUACUCACUGUAACAAGCACCGCUCCCAAGACCUUCUGGAUCCAGACUCAGGGCUCCAGCUCCCUGGAAAUCCUUAGCACGAAGGAGGCUGCAGUCUUGGAUUCCCUGGUGGAGGACGGACUCCACUGCUCUCUGGUCUUGCCCCCUGAUGAUGAUA
rnacentral:lncRNA from 1 species